rnacentral:rRNA from 1 species
GACGAACGCUGGCGGCGUGCUUAACACAUGCAAGUCGAACGGAAAGGCCCUGCUUUUGUGGGGUGCUCGAGUGGCGAACGGGUGAGUAACACGUGAGUAACCUGCCCUUGACUUUGGGAUAACUUCAGGAAACUGGGGCUAAUACCGGAUAGGAGCUCCUGCUGCAUGGUGGGGGUUGGAAAGUUUCGGCGGUUGGGGAUGGACUCGCGGCUUAUCAGCUUGUUGGUGGGGUAGUGGCUUACCAAGGCUUUGACGGGUAGCCGGCCUGAGAGGGUGACCGGCCACAUUGGCACUGUGCUACGGCCCGGACUCCUGCGGGAGGCAGCAGUGGGGGAUAUUGCACAAUGGGCGGAAGCCUGAUGCAGCAACGCCGCGUGCGGGAUGACGGCCUUCGGGUUGUAAACCGCUUUCGCCUGUGACGAAGCGUGAGUGACGGUAAUGUGUAAAGAAGCACCGGCUAACUACGUG